GUCUUUUCCUAUGCCAGUAUCACACUUUCUUGUCUACUGCAGUUGUGUAUGUGUAGAAAGUUCUGAAAUUAGGACAUGUGAGUGCUUCAACUUUGUUGCUUUUUAAGAUCAUUUUGGCCAAUCUGAGUCCUGGGUCUUUUAAAUUUCCAUAAGAAUUUUUAGCAUUAGCUUGUCAUUCUCUGCCAGAAGAAAAAAAAAGCCACAUGACAUUUUGACAAAUAUUUCAUUAAAUCAUAGAUUAAUUUGGGGAAUACUGCAAUCCUAACAAUACCAUAUCAAUAUAAACUACUUUUACAUUUAAGUCUGAUUUAAUAUAUUUCAAAAAGUUUCAUGGUUUUAAUUGUAUAGUCUGGCAUUUCUUAUGUUAAAUUAUUAUUAAUAAUUUUAUCCCUUUUGAUGCUAUUAUAAAUUAAAUUUUUUCUUAAUUUUCUCCCUUAGAAAUCCAUGUCUUGGCCGGGCACGGUGGCUCACAACUAUAAUCCCAGCACUUUGGGAGGCCGAGGGGACAUGGAUGAAGCUGGAAAGCAUCACCCUCAGCAAACUAACUCAGGGACAGAAAACCAAACACCGCAUGCUCUCACUCGGGAACAACAGGUUUGAAUACUGAUGAAGUGGAACUUCAGAGUCACGGUGUGCAUUGAACCGGAGCGAGGCAGAAAAAUACAGCAGACUCAUGACCAAACAGAAAGUGCCCCAGCCUGUUGACGCAGCAUAUAUUCUGAGCCCAACCAAUACCCCUCGCUUUCAGACCUUCAGACGUGGACUGGAAUCUCUGCCAUUGACUCUCCAGCUCUCAGGCCUUGGAACUAUACCACGGGAUUUCCAGUUUACAGAUGGCAGAUCAUGGGAACACCUUGACCUCCAUGAUUGUGCAAGCCAAUACAUUCGUUCUGUUGCUUCUGUUUCUCUGAAGAAUCCCAGUUAAUCCAUAACAUAUUAUUUAAGCCUUAGAAACCAGGUAGGUCUAAGCAUUUCUUAAAGUGUUCAGUGAAACUCUAUUAAAAGAUGGUCAAAUAAAUAAAUAAAUAAAAAUAUAAUCCAGAUUUUGU
rnacentral:lncRNA from 1 species